rnacentral:rRNA from 1 species
AGCUCGAUGAGUAGGGCGGGACACGUGGUAUCCUGUCUGAAUAUGGGGGGACCAUCCUCCAAGGCUAAAUACUCCUGACUGACCGAUAGUGAACCAGUACCGUGAGGGAAAGGCGAAAAGAACCCCGGCGAGGGGAGUGAAAAAGAACCUGAAACCGUGUACGUACAAGCAGUGGGAGCCCCACCACUAAGCCAGUGGUGAACUCCACAUACGCAUCCUUUGCUGAGGAUACGGUUAACGGAGCGAAAGCGACGUUCAACCGCAAAAGAAGCAGAGGGGGCUUAGUGGUGGGGUGACUGCGUACCUUUUGUAUAAUGGGUCAGCGACUUAUAUUCUGUAGCAAGGUUAACCGAAUAGGGGAGCCGGAGGGAAACCGAGUCUUAACCGGGCGUUAAGUUGCAGGGUAUAGACCCGAAACCCGGUGAUCUAGCCAUGGGCAGGUUGAAGGUUGGGUAACACUAACUGGAGGACCGAACCGACUAAUGUUGAAAAAUUAGCGGAUGACCUGUGGCUGGGGGUGAAAGGCCAAUCAAACCGGGAGAUAGCUGGUUCUCCCCGAAAGCUAUUUAGGUAGCGCCUCGUGAAUUCAUCUCCGGGGGUAGAGCACUGUUUCGGCUAGGGGGCCAUCCCGGCUUACCAACCCGAUGCAAACUGCGAAUACCGGAGAAUGUUAUCACGGGAGACACACGGCGGGUGCUAACGUCCGUCGUGAAGAGGGAAACAACCCAGACCGCCAGCUAAGGUCCCAAAGUCAUGGUUAAGUGGGAAACGAUGUGGGAAGGCCCAGACAGCCAGGAUGUUGGCUUAGAAGCAGCCAUCAUUUAAAGAAAGCGUAAUAGCUCACUGGUCGAGUCGGCCUGCGCGGAAGAUGUAACGGGGCUAAACCAUGCACCGAAGCUGCGGCAGCGAACGUAUCACUUAAAGCGAUUCAGCGGGUUACGAU